GCGCUCUGCGCCUGAUUCAGAUCCUCGCCAUGGUAAGACUAUCGGCCGCCAUCCGUUCCUAGGCGGCUCUCCUGAGGCCGGACACCGCUGUGCCUUUGUGGUGGACGUGCGCAGCAUUAAGCGCUGGGUGCAUUUUCAGGGUUUUAGUGUUUUGUUUUGGGAGUUAGGCCACCUAAUAGAUCGCGGGUGCGGCAUGAAAUUAACCCAUUUACCCCAGCAGGGUCGGGCUGCUCCUCCUGAAACCUGGCAAGGGGUGAAAAGUAUCCUUGUUUCACAUAGCCUCGGUGACGGUGAUCUGCAUGAUUUGGGGCAAAAAGGGAGGCUUGGGGCCACUCUUAGAUUGUCCUUAGUCUUCCCUUGGCAUGCACAAAGAGCAUGAAACUUACUUGCACAGGGAGAUGUCCACAGGGUUAAAAGAACUUUGAGAUCCCUUUCUUCAUAAGUUAAGGCAUCACUGUUUGGAAGCGUCUGUUAACAGCGCAUCAUUCACUGCCUACUGACAGAUUAGGCUUAUUGGUCUCUAGGUACAAAGUAGCAUUAGUAUCAGAAUUUGUUAAGUAAAAUCUACAGCUGGUCUAGGAGGACGAGUGUACUUUUCCUUUCGCUGCCUUUUUUUUUUAAUCUAGUGGUACUUGCUACUGAGUGUCAAGGGCUCCUCAGCAAUGACACUUGAAGGUAGAUGUGACUGUUUUCCAAAGAACAGCACCUAGAGUCAUUGACUUAAAACUAAAGCUAGUAAGUCACUUUGCUCUC
rnacentral:lncRNA from 1 species